rnacentral:tRNA from 1 species
GCAUUAGUCGAUGCCCCGGUAGCUCAGAGGUAGAGCUCCUGCAUAUAGCGAGCGAAAGCGGGAGGUCGCAGGUUCGAAUCCUGCCCGGUGGCUA